UUGUUUGUGUGAAUAACUUUCUUUUGUGUUGUUUGUUUGUUUACUAAGAAUUUAGAUCACAAAAACUCAUGAGUAAUGAUGCAUCUUCCAUAUUGGGGUAUUGUUUAUUCUGACUUUUGAGGAUCAUCUUACCAUUUCAAUGCUAUACUUCAAAUUCCUUAUCUAUUUGUGUUUUUCUUCUUUUUAGUUUGUAUAGAGCAGAGAAUGGGUAAAUAUCGAUGAAGGGGUUUGGGGGUUUAAGCUAAAACUUCAUUUCAUUAACUUAUAUAAAUUGUGAAAAGAAUUGUUGAUGGGCAGCUGAUGGAUGAAGUGUUGUCCUGUUGUUGAAAUUGAAUUUUCCUGCCAAUGUAUAUAGAACCUUCUGCUCUCUGCACUUAAAAAUCAAUAAAUGAUAGUAUAUAUUUUGCUUCUGAUGUGUGUUAAGACUAGAUGUGAUUAGAUUAGAAAUGAUAAAAUUAGAGUGCUUGGGGUUACACCUAUAGUAGAAAAGAAAAGAUGGUGGAAAAUAGACUUAGAUGGGUUGGGCAUCUAGAGAGAAGACCCUGUAGAUUCUGUAGUAAGGAGAAUAGAUCAGAUGGAGAGAAGUCAAACAACUAGAGAUAGAGGAAGACUUAGAAAAACUUUAAGAGAAGUUAUCAAGAAAGAUCUUGAGAUUUACCAUUUGGAUUGAAGCACGGUAUUGGAUAUAACAUUAUGACAAAAGUUGAUCCAUAUAACCAACCCUACUUAGUGAGCUAAGUCUUGGUUGUUGUUGUAUAUUUGUAUUAUGCCAUUACUAUAUAUGACCCUCGGAUGAAUAUGAAUUUGGAAAUUUGUAUAACAUUUUUUUUAAUUUUCCUCCAAAAAAACAAAUUAAACUUCACUUUUAAACUGUGAUUAUAAUAGAUAUUCU
rnacentral:lncRNA from 1 species